rnacentral:tRNA from 1 species
GCUGGCGUAGCUCAACAGUAGAGCAACAGCCUUCCAAGCUGACGAGGGAUCGACUCCCUUCGCCUGCUCCA